rnacentral:rRNA from 1 species
CGUACACUCCUGCGGGAGGCAGCAGUGGGGAAUAUUGCACAAUGGGCGGAAGCCUGAUGCAGCAACGCCGCGUGCGGGAUGACGGCCUUCGGGUUGUAAACCGCUUUCGCCUGUGACGAAGCGUGAGUGACGGUAAUGGGUAAAGAAGCACCGGCUAACUACGUGCCAGCAGCCGCGGUGAUACGUAGGGUGCGAGCGUUGUCCGGAUUUAUUGGGCGUAAAGGGCUCGUAGGUGGUUGAUCGCGUCGGAAGUGUAAUCUUGGGGCUUAACCCUGAGCGUGCUUUCGAUACGGGUUGACUUGAGGAAGGUAGGGGAGAAUGGAAUUCCUGGUGGAGCGGUGGAAUGCGCAGAUAUCAGGAGGAACACUAGUGGCGAAGGCGGUUCUCUGGGCCUUUCCUGACGCUGAGGAGCGAAAGCGUGGGGAGCGAACAGGCUUAGAUACCCUUGUAGUCCC